ensembl:lncRNA
CUAAAAGGAAAGAUGAAAUGGCAAGAAAUAGUCUCCACUAUGAGGAGACCACUCAUUGCAUAAGGAGUAUUAAAACACACAGGAUUCCUGUUACUGUUACUCAUCCAGCAAGAAUUCUGUCACUAUUUUAUGCAAGUGGUUUUGAUUGGCUUAGGUAUAUGGUUACAAACCCAGAAGGAAGCCACAGACUUUGUAUCUGGGCUGCACUGGGGGAAUGAAGAGGAUCCAAUGAUCCUUAUAUGGGUUACUGUUUCCACAUCCCUAUGUUUCAACUAUAUGAUAGAGAUGGAAGGCAUCAGGGAGUCUUUCUUUGUGGAACUACAUAACUGAAAUGAAAAGCUGGUUUGGAUAGAGGGAAGACCAUGAAGGCGCAUCAUCCAUGUGAAGGCUUUGCAUCAGAUGAGAGACAAACUAGAUCAAGUAGCCAGCAUGUCCUGGAGGAACUAACCUGUUGAGUUUGCAUGAGAAAAUCUUUACAGAGGCAGAAGGAGAAUUCUAUUGUUUGAGACCAAAUGGCAUGACAAUAAUGUCAGAGUUGGGUUAACGCUUCCAGCUUGACUUGCCAGCCCGGUGCCCUGCAGCCUGGGCAGGCAGGCACCACUACGAUGAGCAGGUAUGUGUGGAGAAAUUGGAGAAAGGGAGAAGCAGGUUCUUGACUGUGGAGAGAAGCAAACCUGAAGACGGUAUGGCUGAUAUGGGUGGCCUACUGGGGCUGUGAUGAUCAGGUCAGACCAAGGGCUAUGUCUGUUGUCCAUGACCCUACCACAUCUGGGGUCUGUGAUAAUGUCUGUGGCUAAUGUUACCACCAAAAGCUGUGAGCAUGUUUGUGGUCUGGGCUGCUACCUGAGGGCCACCUGAGCCCACAUUGGUCACUGAGAGCCAAACCACCACUGGGGCCAUACUGAACUGAGCAACCUGUGCUGUCACCCGAGGCCCAUGGUGACCUCCACUCCAAGCUGCAGCCAAGGGCUAUGUCUGGGUCUGUGGUCCUAUGUUGAUGUCCGUGGCCUGUGUUACUACUGAGGGACAGGGGAGAGCUGGUCCCGGUGUUGUGGGUGGCCUGAAAAGCUGAGAGGUGGUCUGCCCCUCGCUGACUGCUGAGGCCAAAAAGAUGUAUGCCACUCCCAGGAGAACUGGCCCCUGUGGUGUGAGAGCAGAAGAGUUGGCCCCAAAGGGCGCUGGAGAGCUGGCUUCACCCCAUGCCUGAGCAGGGGGCGAUUCCGGUGGAAGCCCUCACUGACCAACUCAACUACCAGCCAGGCCCACAUCCAGGGCUUUGAGUUUCCCCCUCCCCAAUCUACCUCAUCUAUGAUCUGUUAGGGUGCAUGAAGGGACAGGUCCUGCGGAACCAUAGCCAUAGGAUCUCCACAACUCAAAGCAACAGCAGGAUAUCUGAGAGGAGUUUUUGUGAAUGGUGUGCUAGAAACCAGAGACCUUGAACCAAACCAACAACUCCUUGCAAUGAACAUUUGCAAGUAAAGCUGUUUGAGCAAAAGGGUAUACUGCGUAACACACCACAGCUACUAAGGCCAUUAUGAAAAAUGAGUAUGUGAUGGAGAGGUGGGAAAGACAGAGGAGAGACAGUUUGUUUUUGUUUUUGUUUUUGUUUUGUUUUGUUUUGUUUUGUUUGUUUGUUUUCGUUUUUCAAGACAGGGUUUCUCUAUGUAGCCCUGGCUGGCCUGGAACUUACUUUGUAGACCAGGCUGGCCUCAAACUCACAGAUUCACCUGCCUCUGCCUCCCGAGUGAGUGCUGGGAUUAAAAGUGUGCAUCACCACAGCCAGGCUUGCUUUGCAGGGGGGGGAGGCUACAAAGGCUGGAGGAGGGGGAGGGCAGAUGUGGAAGGACUGGGAAAAGAGUGAGAUUAGGGUGCAUAAUGUGAUAUUCCCAAAGAAUCAAUAAAAGAUUUGUGUUGAUUAAAAACAAUUUUUCAUUCCAGCUGCACUCCAGGGAAAGUGUUCAAUGUCAACCCUGCUCUUCAAACAAUGAGACUGGACCCAGUUCUAGGUAAUGAAAAUCAGCUCAAGUGGCUGAGGCUAUGGUCAUGAUCCGAGGAGUUAAGGUGCUAUUCUCAUUGCUUGUAUAUCAGGACCUGGCGUUCUUCCACACCUUCAUAUCUCCCAUAAGUAGUUCUCCCUCCAGGCUAAACAUCCAUAAGUCAGUUAUCCUUUUAGGAGCUGGCUUUUAGGUUCUAUCUGGGUUUAGGCUAAGAUAUACCUAGAAAAUGCUCUAAGAGUGCAGUUCUAGUGUUAAUCCCCAAAUAUGGCUAGCACGUUUUAAGUUAUCUUGAGUCUAUCCAGGAGCAAACCAAGACUGGACAUUGCAAUCUUCAAUAUAGGGCGCCCUAUUCAGUAUAUCAAGUAUAGGGCGCCCAAAGAAAUGACUGUCUCAUUGUACAGAUAUCCAAAGUUAGCAAGUGACUGCUUUUCUACCAAAAGGUUCUUAGAAGGGGAUCCAUGCCCUUAUGCAACAUGAACAGGACAAAGUCCCCCUGUCAUCUUGUGGAUAUAGCAAUAUCUUGAGACUUUUAAAAGCUGUCAGAAUGCAAGAGUUAAACUUAUAGGGUAAUAAAAAUAAGAAAAUAUAUUGUAAUCGUCAACACCUCUUUCCUUUUCGGAUCACAUAUAGCAAAAUUCUGUUCAUGCUUAUAGAGAAAGAAGUAUGCCAGGCAUAAGUAAACAAGUAAACAAGAAGCAUGACCUGUUAACUGAAAGAAUAUGGUAACUGAAGUUUGAGUACAAAAUUGCAUCAUUCAUAAUUUUACACUUAAGUGAAGUGCAUUCCUGCCCAUGCUUGGAAAGACAUAGAAUUUUCCUCAUGUCAGACACAUCAAAUACCAAUAACUUUGUAUACAACAACACAGAAGAAGGUUGGAUGAGUCUGAAUGUUGUCUUAUUAUAGUGAGCACAAAGAAUGGCAAAUACAUUUUCACUUCAUUGUGUAGGCUAUGAUCAACACUCCUAAAAGUGUUAUUGGAGAUAACAACCAUAAAGAAUAAUCACAUGAAUUCUCAAAAAGUUAAAUAUCCAUGUCUCAGGGUUAAGAUUUUAUGAUCUAAAGAAUAUUAACUUGUAAAGGAAACAUUAGC